rnacentral:rRNA from 1 species
AUUGAACGCUGGCGGAAGGCCUAACACAUGCAAGUCGAACGAGUGGCGGAAGGGUGAGUAAUGUCUGGGAAACUGCCCGAUGGAGGGGGAUAACUACUGGAAACGGUAGCUAAUACCGCAUAACAUCGGAAGUGCCCAGAUGGGAUUAGCUAGUGGGUUGGGUAACGGCUCACCUAAGCGACGAUCCCUAGCUGGUCUGAGAGGAUGACCAGCCACACUGGAACUGAGACACGGUCCAGGCUCCUACGGGAGGCAGCAGUGGGGAAUAUUGCACAAUGGACGCAAGCCUGAUGCAGCCAUGCCGCGUGUAUGAAGAAGGCCUGCGGGUUGUAAAGUACUUUCAGCGAGGAGGCGUUACUCGCAGAAGAAGAACCGGCUAACUCCGUGCCAGCAGCCGCGGUAAUUC